CAUAUCACCUUGCUGAAUUUCCAAACAGGAAAACGGGGGAACCAAUAAGGACAUAUAUUUGGAUGUCCAUGGGGUGAAUCGUGCAGGAACAUGUUUAUUCCGCACGUAGGGCUGCUCUCAUAGCCCGAAUCCGACAGCUAACCUCGUAAGCGUUGUAUGAGAGAGGAG
rnacentral:sRNA from 1 species